AAACUGCCCACUGCAGACAAAGGAUAAGAGGUUACAGGUCAUUUACACAUUUCUUUAUUGCUCCCUACAAAACCCAGGAUUUGAGCACGGAUGUGGCAAGGAUGUGGCAUGGUACGAGCAAGGAGGGGCCACGGAAUGGGAUCCUGCACUUCUGAGGAAGCUGACUCCACACCCCACCUACAGAUAUGUAUCUUGUGACCUAGGCUAAGCCAAUCAGUGUACUGUAUCUUCCUGGCUCCAGUGACAGGCACAUGACCUAAGUAAGACCUUUUGGAGAAUGCAGAGACAAAGACCUUUUCUGAGACUCUUCUCUCUUCUGGAUGUGAACACUUAACUACAUGACCCCAGUCACUGCUUCCAGCCAUCGUGGGACCAGGGGGAGGUCCACUCUUGGUUUAAAGCCAACCAUUGCAGAGGCAGAGCCAGUAGAAGAAAAGGAACCAGGUUUGUGGUAACACUGUGAAAUGGCUGGAUCAACCCUAGCCUGAAAGCCAUCUGCCUUUGGAUUUUUCAGCAACAGAAGCCAAUAAAUUCCCUUUACUGCUAAA